rnacentral:rRNA from 1 species
AUUGAACGCUGGCGGCAGGCCUAACACAUGCAAGUCGAACGAGUGGCGGACGGGUGAGUAAUGUCUGGGAAACUGCCUGAUGGAGGGGGAUAACUACUGGAAACGGUAGCUAAUACCGCAUACCAUCGGAUGUGCCCAGAUGGGAUUAGCUAGUAGGGGGGGUAACGGCUAACCUAGGCGACGAUCCCUAGCUGGUCUGAGAGGAUGACCAGCCCCACGGGAACUGAGCAACGGUCAAGACCCCUCCGGGAGGCAGCAGUGGGGAAUAUGGAACAAUGGGCGCAAGCCUGAGGCAGCCAUGCCGCGUGUAUGAAGAAGGCCUUCGGGUUGUAAAGUACUUUCAGCGGGGAGGCGUUACCCGCAGAAGAAGCACCGGCUAACUCCGGGCCAGCGGCCGCGGUAAUA